rnacentral:lncRNA from 1 species
AGGGUCUAUGGGGAAAUAUUUGUGUGGCCACUUACCAUUGGCCAAGCAAGGAGGAAACGUCUGUAGGUUGUUGCGGGGUGGGAUGGGUGGAGCCUUAUAAGGUCAGAGUGACACCUUUAUGGUUCGAGGUUGGGAGCAGGAGGAGGUAGCCAACUCCUGCCAUCCUUAUGUUAAAGGUUUCCCCCGGGUUGAAGCUCCACCCUUCAUAACCCUGGGCCACUACUGCUCUACAGUUGUAAGCAUGCUGUAUUUUUAGGAAGCUACUGCCUUGUGUAAGAUGCCAGUCAAUGGCCAGUUUGUCCUUGGGGUUAUCAUGGUACCACUGGGGGCCUUAGAGUACACCUGGCCUUCAUGGUUGGCCUGGUCUUUAUAGAGUGGAAUUGAGGAAAGCCAUACAUUACUGAAGUAGGAAAUGGCCCCGUGCAUUGUUGAAAGUGGAGGGUAGGAAAAGGCAGGUGUACUUUCUAGUGUGUAACAGGUUUGUGUUAAGAUCCAGAGUGUACCAGCUCUGACUUCUGUGGUAGUCCUUGUGUCACGUUAGCUAUUGGGAAGAAGUGGGAGCUAUAUGUGUAUUGCUUCAGGAAGAACCUCCUGGGAAUGUGUGCUGUUUCCCAGGACGUCUACUAGAACUUGACCUUUGGUUUUAGUCUUACCGUUUUGCUAGAGCUCCUGCUAAUUAGAAGGUUUACUUGAGUUGUAUUGGUUGUACAUCUCAAAAGACAAAAGUAAGACUCAUGGUUUAAAAUACAGGUCUUUGAAAGUGAUAGUGUGGUCCUAGAUGCAGUCCUGAACUAUUAACUGAAGCUUUGUAUGCUGUGCUAGGGCCUUACCACUGAGCUACAUUCCCAGCCCACAAGAAAAUUCUACACCCACCUCCCACCUCCCAAACCCAGACAGGGUUUUUCUGUGUGUCCCUGGCUGUCUGUCCUGGAACUCCCAAUAUAGUCCCAAGAUGAUUUCACAGAGAUCCACCUACCUCUGCUGAGAUUAAAGGUGUGUGCCACCACUACCUGUCUUACUCAGCUCACAAAAGAAUUUAAAGGGUAGAUUGAAGCAGAGUAGAGCUCAGAAUUGGUGAGUUCUGGUGAAAGGCACAUCAGGAACUAGGUAGCCUUUCAGAGCUCAAGUCUGCGUGGAGAGCCCAAGGUUUUGUAGACAGAAGAGUCUAUUAAUCCCUUAGAGACCAGCCCCAUCUGUCUGAGGAAAUAGAAGGCAUGCUCGGCCCUCCUAGUAUUAUACAUCUCUUUUCAUGGAGCAGCAAACAGGCUCCUCAGGUUAGUCCUUAGCAAAGGAGGUGUCGUCCAUCCCUGGCCCUGCGCCUUUAAAAGGAUUUGCUCAUUUUGAGAUCCACUUGCCUCUGGCUCCAGUGCUGUGGUGUGUACCACCCCGCCUGGGCAUUUUUUUUUUUUAAAUUAUGUAUAUGGCUGUUCACAGGAGUGCAAGGACCUGUGGAGGCCAAAAAAUGUUAGAUCUCUUAGAGUUGUAGGUGUUUGAGAGCUGCUGGAAAGGGGUACCAGUGCUGAACUUGGGUCCUCUGGAAGAGCAGUUUGCUCUAACCACUGAACAGCCUCUCUGGCCCAAGAAACUCAUCAGUCGAGUAAGUUGAUUCUGUUGUGAAGCCCAAAACUGAGCACCCUAAAAGAAAAACAAAAAAGCAACUGGGUGUGGGAGCUGAUAGCUGUAAACCAAGCAUGGGAGAAGAAAGGGCUAAUCGGUACAAGUUUAAGGCCAGCCUGGUCUACACAGCAAAUUCCAGUCAGCUGGAGUUACAGAACAAGACCCUGUCUUCAAAACCCAAACAAAAAAGUGUGUGUGUGUGUGUGUGUGUGUGUGUGUGUGUGUGUAUACAUGUGCACACGUGACACGAAGGUGCUUAUUUUCAGUUCUGGGUCAAGCAGUCCCUUACUUAAGCUUAUGUUUGUGGUUGCUCAGCUGCAGGGCAGAAAUGCUGAAGGCUGUGUUGCCCUCUGUGAACUUUCUCUUGCUAACCAGAGUCAGAGCCAAGAUGAGGCUGACUGUGCUUGACCUCGGGAGUCCCUUUGCUUGUCAGAUACUGAAGGUGACCAUAGAAACACGCUCCUGUGUAAAUGGGCAAUCAAAAUAGCCUUUGAAGAUUUGUGCAGUAAUUCCCUAUCUGGUUCCAUGGCCCUAAUACAUACAGCCUUUCAGUCUCUGAGAGCAAAGCUAAAGUUUAAAAAACCACAAACCCAAGUAAAGAGCACAAAUCCAUAGGCAACGCCACUCGAUGACGUGGUGUUGAGACCACAGCUUUACAGCCGUUUUCUCGAAGGCUUAUGCUUCUCAGUAUACUUGGGAACUGAGGUAUGAGGAAUGUCACGAGUUCAAGGCCUGCCUGAGCUACAGAAGUGAGACCUUGUCUCCAAAACAAAUGAGGGGGCUUGGCAGAAAGCUUAGUCUGACAAGUAUGUAGCAUCUAGGGACUUGAAUUAGUUUCCAUUACCCAUAUGAAAAGCUGGUCAUGUUGCUGCUUGUCUGUAAUCCUAGGGAGGAGGCAGAGGCAGAAGCAGAAGCAGAGGCAAGCAGCUCCAGGAGCUUGCUGCCUAGCCAGCCUAGCCUACACACUGAGCCCCAGACCCCAGUGGGAGAUUCCAUCUCAAAAGCUGAGGUGGGAGCCAGGUGUGACGGCAUAUGACUCUAAUCCCAGAAGUUGGGAAGCAUGGGCAGUUUGAUUUCUUGAGUUUGGGGCCAUCCAUGUCUGUAUGGUAAGUUUCAGGACAGUCAGAGGAUGACAUAGACCCAGACUCAGAAAAAGCAAAAAUUAAGGUGGAGCACUCCUGAGGGACAAUACCUGGUUGACCUCUUGACUACACGUACACACAUACACACACAAAUGAACACACACCCUAAACCCAGCAGCAACAACAGAACCCCCCAAUGGACACUAAGCAAGGCUUGCUUUGAUGGUAGAUCAUCCAAUAAUAGGACACACAACAGCAGUCCCAUAGGAUGAUAUUAUCUAGCCUUCAAUUCAGGCUUCUAUGUAUGUGUGCUAUGAUAUUUGCAAAAAAAAUUACCUAAGAGCAUGCUUCAGAACAUGUCCCAUUAUUAAACAGCAGAGGACUAUAGGAGUAAUAUGACAGAUUGGUUAUUUUGUUUAAUCCCAGCACUCAGGCAGGCAGCCAUGUCACUUUGUUCUUCCUUGGCCCUAGUGCAUGCCUGUAUGUGUCUGUAGUUGUCUGAUCAAAAUACAAAACUGUCAAGUUG